GAAGGCCGCCGUCAUCAAUGCACUUUCGCUUUGUGAUGCGACGGAUGCCUGUUUAUUGGAAAACCGAAACUACGAAUCAUUGUUUUAAGCGAGCUAAUCCGCCCCCAUCGUUUCUGUAAAUACAGGCGCUAAUGAAACCGAACCAGCAAUGUUUAACAAUCUGCUGUGUGAGUGUGUGUGGGCGGGGUCACGGCCAGAUUCUGGAUGUGUGCAUCAAAACCGUUGUGGCAAGUUGGGAGCCUAUCACAAGAAGCAGUAAUGUAUUUAUUUUUUUAUUUUAUUUAAAUUUCCUGCCCCAGGCUGUGCGUCAUGGGAAGCUGAUGGCCUAUGAUUAUGGGAGAUCUGGAAAUAUGGCUCAUUACAAUCAGACAACCCCACCUCUGUACAACGUCCAGGACUUAAAAGUGCCCACAGCAGUGUGGUACGGAGGCCAGGACAUGCUGGCUGACCCUAAAGACGUGGCCUUGCUACUCCCUCAGAUCCCCAACCUCGUUUAUCAGAAGCGAAUCCAGCACUGGGAGCACCUGGACUUCAUCUGGGGUCUGGACGCCCCCCAGGAGAUGUUCGGCGACAUGCUGAAGCUGAUGAGGCAGCAGGCAUGAGCCGCCUGAUGCUGGUCGGCACAGCCGAUCGUGACUAGCGUCUAUUCAAUUCGAUUUUUAUUUUUUCUAAAACCAAGUUCAGAGUUCAGCCCGAAAGCAGUGCUGUGAAAUGCUGUGCAAUGUGGUUCGGGAAUGCGGCACAGAGUGUGAACUAACAGCAGCGUGCCACCAUACCUGGUGACUGAAGUCGGCCCUCAAACUUUGGUCGCCACAGGAUUUGUGUUUUUUUUUUUAAGCUACCAAAGUUUCAUUUCAAUCCCCCUGUUCGCUUUGUUUUCUGACCAAAAACGUGCACGUUAUAAACAAGUUUAGUGGAGCAGUCCCUAGCAGUCACAGAAAGGCAAUGGAUAUUCAUCUCUUAAGUGGUUUUAACUCCAAUCCACUGGAUUCAUUUCAUGGCAGGAAUAUUUCUUUGUAUCGUUUGACCUUUUAGACCUUUUAUACUAACUGUCAAAUUUUCUUCCGUAAGUGCAUUGUUCUUCAUGCUGUGUUUCCCUCCCCUACUGGGGGGGGGUGUGGCUUUUUUCAUUUUCUUUUUUUUUUUUGCAUUUUCACUUUGGUGUUAACACCCUCUCACCGUUUGAAUCAUUACGAUUAACUGGGGGUGACAGUUCAACACAUACUGUCAUCACUUCACACCCCCAGGGCUGUGGGUGAAAACCAGUCUGCAACCCUCCCUCCCUCAGCCAAAGUACAUACAGUUCUGCCUUAAGAUCACCUAUGUGCCUGAUAAUGUACGCCCCCUGGUGGACUGACUCCCUACUGGAGGUGUGCCCUGCCUUAUGGUGCUGCAUUGUUACAGUGCAGAUGAUAAAUCACUGGAAAAAUAACAGAUGGAUGUUUAGUCAUUCUAGGACGCAGUGUGGUUGACUAGUAUUUCUCACCAAAGCCUUCUGCCUUGAACAUUAUGGUUUCUGUUUAAUUCAUUUCAUGUAGCUGAGACACAGCAACUGUAAAUAAAACUGACUGAACUGUGGUCCUGAAUUAAACUGUAUGACUAUAAAA